rnacentral:rRNA from 1 species
GACGAACGCUGGCGGCGUGCCUAAUACAUGCAAGUCGAACGCAGUGGGGACGGGUGAGUAACACGUGGGUAACCUCCCAUCAGAGGGGAUAACACUUGGGAACAGGUGCUAAACCGAUACUGAUAGAUGGACCCGCGGUGCAUUAGCUAGUGGGUGGGGUACCGGCUCCCCAAGGCCCCGAUGCAUAGCCGACCUGAGGGGGUGAUGGGCCACACUGGGACGGAGACACGGCCCAGACUCCUACGGGAGGCAGCAGUAGGGAAUCUCCGGCAAUGGACGAAAGCCUGACCGAGCAACGCCGCGUGAGUGAAGAAGGUUUUCGGAUCGUAAAACUCUGUUGUUAGAGAAGCGGUAUCUAACCAGAAAGCCACGGCUAACUACGUGCCAGCCGCCGCGGUAAUUC